AAUGCGUCGAAUUCAUUCCACAGCGAUCCUCUACCCAACUAAUUAAAUACUAGUACUAUCCAAAUGCAUAAAUACAGGCGCAUGCUUCUGCAUAAUAUAAAUGCGGCGUGCUUCCCCCUCACCUCUCUCCUCUCUCCCCUCUCUCCCCUCUCACCUGUAUCUUCUUCCCCAACUCGCUCUCAAAUUUCCUUAAAAAACGUUUGCUAGGUGCUCCAAAUGCUGGCUUUUCGGUGGUUUCGGCAAAGGAGAAACCGAUGAAGAAAAAAGUGAAGCAAGGGAAUUUCCCUUGCAAUCACAUAGAUUGUCCGAGAUUCCGAAGGGACAACCGACUUCCCAUAACCAGACACUGGAGGGAAGUGCACGGUGUCACAAGCAAUAGGCCGAGUGACUUCUGCAAGAACUGCGGCAACUACAGACUUAGUGGCUUUCCUUGCAAGUACAUGGAGCGGUGCCCAUGGAAGGAUGGUCUGGAACCAAUCAGAUCCCACGAGUUGCUGACCAAGAAGUAUCAUCAAAAGAAGGAGGAGAAGUACAAGAAGAAGGAGGCCGAUGAGGAUUAAUGGGGGAUGGAUACGCUGCAUUAACCAUUCCACAUUAAUGGUACAUUGUACCGAAGUUUGGUAUACUGUACAGUUCGAUAUAUCGAAAUUCGGUAUGAUAUACCAAUACGAUAAAUUAACGGUAGUAACAUUAUCCAUACAAAACUUUCGAUAUGAUAACAGUAUGAAAUUCGUUCGUACCGAUAUUUUUGAUCUAA